rnacentral:misc_RNA from 1 species
ACAAACUUGUCAUUUAGAGGAAGUAAAAGUCGUAACAAGGUUUCCGUAGGUGAACCUGCGGAAGGAUCAUUAAAAAAUCUUUGCCCGCGGACCUUGAGUCCAAGGUGCAAAACCCACACUAUGUGCACUGUUAUCGUUCUUUUGGCAGGGGCUUGGGGUAUCUUCCACCUUGGGGAAUCUCAACUUCUCGUCUAGCUCUAUCCACCUCGGACAGCUGGAUAUGAGAAGCAGUUACCCUGCCAAGUGACCCUUAAAAACACGCUUUUUGUCUGAAAUGUAUUUUUAUUCUUUUUGCGAUUAUAUGCGUAAUAAAUAAAACAUAACUUUCAACAACGGAUCUCUUGGCUCUCGCAUCGAUGAAGAACGCAGC